rnacentral:rRNA from 1 species
GGGGAAUAUUGGACAAUGGGCGAAAGCCUGAUCCAGCCAUGCCGCGUGAGUGAUGAAGGCCCUAGGGUUGUAAAGCUCUUUCGCCAGGGACGAUAAUGACGGUACCUGGAUAAGAAGCCCCGGCUAACUUCGUGCCAGCAGCCGCGGUAAUACGAAGGGGGCUAGCGUUGUUCGGAUUUACUGGGCGUAAAGCGCACGUAGGCGGAUUUUUAAGUCAGGGGUGAAAUCCCAAGGCUCAACCUUGGAACUGCCUUUGAUACUGGAAGUCUCGAGUCCGGGGGAGGUGAGUGGAACUGCGAGUGUAGAGGUGAAAUUCGUAGAUAUUCGCAAGAACACCAGUGGCGAAGGCGGCUCACUGGCCCGGUACUGACGCUGAGGUGCGAAAGCGUGGGGAGCAAAC